GAUGAACGCUAGCUACAGGCUUAACACAUGCAAGUCGAGGGGAAACGGCAUUAAGUGCUUGCACUUUUUGGACGUCGACCGGCGCACGGGUGAGUAACGCGUAUCCAACCUUCCCAUGACUAAGGGAUAACCUGCCGAAAGGCAGACUAAUACCUUAUGGUCUUCACUGACGGCAUCAGAUGUGAAGUAAAGAUUUAUCGGUUAUGGAUGGGGAUGCGUCUGAUUAGCUUGUUGGCGGGGUAACGGCCCACCAAGGCAACGAUCAGUAGGGGUUCUGAGAGGAAGGUCCCCCACAUGGGAACUGGGACACGGUCCAAACUCCUACGGGAGGCAGCAGUGAGGAAUAUUGGUGAAUGGGCGAGAGCCUGAACCAGCCAAGUAGCAUGCAGGAUGACGGCCCUAUGGGUUGUAAACUGCUUUUGUAAGGGGAUAAAGUCAAUCACGUGUGAUUGUUUGCAGGUACCAUACGAAUAAGAACCGGCUAAUUCCGUG
rnacentral:rRNA from 1 species